GGGGAUGACUGCAGCCUUGGCACAACGAGCAAGUACAACAAACUUAGACAUAGACUGGUGCGGAAGUAAGAUAUUACGAAGAGAACAGGACCCUAGGAGAGGGAGGAUUGCAGAAGCAUUGGCAAUAUAUUCCAACCCCUGUAAACGGACAAACCCAAUUAAUAAGAUUGAUCCCACCUCAAUAAAUUACACUUUGAAAUGGUGUAAUACUUAUAAGCAUUAAAAGGGAUGCAGCGGAAUAGCUGCCAUUGAUCUUUGUAAUAAAUAAAUGAUUAACUGUGCUCUUUGUUUGUGUAGACUAUGCUAAACUUUUUGUUGGCUCUG
rnacentral:lncRNA from 1 species